rnacentral:rRNA from 1 species
UACAGAGGAUGCAAGCGUUAUCCGGAAUGAUUGGGCGUAAAGCGUCUGUAGGUGGCUUUUUAAGUCCGCCGUCAAAUCCCAGGGCUCAACUCUGGACAGGCGGUGGAAACUACCAAGCUGGAGUACGGUAGGGGCAGAGGGAAUUUCCGGUGGAGCGGUGAAAUGCGUAGAGAUCAGGAAGAACACCGGUGGCGAAAGCGUUCUGCUAGACCUGUACUGACACUGAGGGACGAAAGCUAGGGGAGCGAAUGGG